rnacentral:misc_RNA from 1 species
CGGGACCCCCCUGCAUGCAUAAGUAUCAAUGUAUUUCAGAAGUAUGACGGCAACCGACCAGAUGCGGGCUAUGCUGGAUGCCAUGAUGGGGACUGCUAGGAAUGGUGAAGCAAGUAGUGUGAGGUUUAACGAUCAUAAUGUUUGUAAAUCCUUCCUUCUCAGCUGCUGUCCUCACGAUUUACUCGCAGCUACGAGAAUGGAUAUUGGAGAGUGCAGUCGGAUUCAUGAUCUGGGGCUCAGGGCUGAUUACGAACUAGCGCAGAAAUCUAAGGAUUAUUUCUACGAUGUUGACGCAUUUGAACACUUGUCUGCAUUUGUGGCAGAUUGUGAUAGGAAAACUGAAAGCUCCAAGAUCAAGCUUGCAGAGACACAGGAAAUGCUCAGCGAUGAGGUGACAACUAAAGCAAACCUAGUUCAUGAUCUGGCAGAACAAAUAGGGAAGAAGUUGGCUUCAGCUGAGCAGAUGGGCGCAGAGGGAGAGGUUGAAGAGAGCAUGAAACUUAUGGAGGAGGUGGAAGAAAUAAGAAAGGUGAAAGCGGAGGCUGAGCAAGAUUACAGGAACUCGAUGCCGGCCUCGAGUUAUCAACAACAGAAACUUCGAGUCUGCGAGGUAUGUUCUGCUUACCUCGGUAUUCACGAUAACGAUCGGCGGUUGGCUGACCAUUUCGGCGGGAAACUUCAUCUUGGAUUCAUUCAGAUCAGAGAAAAACUAGAAGAAUUGAAGAAGAAUAAAGAUGAAAGACUUAUUUUGAAACGCGAGGCGAAAAUGUUUGAGAUGGAGCGCGGCGAAUAUGAGAUAGAAAGACCUCCGCCCCCGGAGGAUAGGCGGAGACGAGAGAGAAGUAGGGAUAGAAGUCGAGAGAAGAGAAGGAGAAGUAGGUCAAGAAGCAGGGAUCGAAGGAAACGCAGCAGGAGUAGAAGCAGGGGACAUAGAAGACACAAGAGAUCAAGAUCAAGGGAGAGAAGACGCAGGUCUGGGUCCAGAAAACGACGUGUUUCACAGGGUCAACAUGAUUCUGAGAAAAACUAAAAUAUUGACGAAGAAAACUAAACCCCGGGGUGCAUGGGUAACAUUAUAAAAAGCAUGUUAUAAAUAUAAUUCAGUUGUUAAUUAUUCAUACAAAAUCUGUUGUAAUCAAAUGAAUUGUUUGUAAUAUUCAGUUUCAAUAUAUCAAAAAAUAAUAUAGUAAAGAAUGAA